rnacentral:rRNA from 1 species
CUUGCUUCUCUUGAGAGCGGCGGACGGGUGAGUAAUGCCUAGGAAUCUGCCUGGUAGUGGGGGAUAACGUUCGGAAACGGACGCUAAUACCGCAUACGUCCUACGGGAGAAAGCAGGGGACCUUCGGGCCUUGCGCUAUCAGAUGAGCCUAGGUCGGAUUAGCUAGUUGGUGGGGUAAUGGCUCACCAAGGCGACGAUCCGUAACUGGUCUGAGAGGAUGAUCAGUCACACUGGAACUGAGACACGGUCCAGACUCCUACGGGAGGCAGCAGUGGGGAAUAUUGGACAAUGGGCGAAAGCCUGAUCCAGCCAUGCCGCGUGUGUGAAGAAGGUCUUCGGAUUGUAAAGCACUUUAAGUUGGGAGGAAGGGUUGUAGAUUAAUACUCUGCAAUUUUGACGUUACCGACAGAAUAAGCACCGGCUAACUCUGUGCCAGCAGCCGCGGUAAUACAGAGGGUGCAAGCGUUAAUCGGAAUUACUGGGCGUAAAGCGCGCGUAGGUGGUUUAUUAAGUUGGAUGUGAAAUCCCCGGGCUCAACCUGGGAACUGCAUUCAAAACUGACUGACUAGAGUAUGGUAGAGGGUGGUGGAAUUUCCUGUGUAGCGGUGAAAUGCGUAGAUAUAGGAAGGAACACCAGUGGCGAAGCGACCACCUGGGACUAAUACUGACACUGAGGUGCGAAAGCGUGGGGAGCAAACAGGAUUAGAUACCCUGG